GACGAACGCUGGCGGCGCGCUUAGCACAUGCAAGUCGAGCGGUAAGGCCCUUUCGGGGGUACACGAGCGGCGAACGGGUGAGUAACACGUGGGUGACCUGCCCUCAGCUCUGGGAUAAGCCUGGGAAACCGGGUCUAAUACUGGAUAUGACUCCAUGACGCAUGUUGUGGGGUGGAAAGCCUUGUGCGGCUGAGGAUGGGCCCGCGGCCUAUCAGCUUGUUGGUGGGGUGAUGGCCUACCAAGGCGA
rnacentral:rRNA from 1 species